rnacentral:rRNA from 1 species
UACGAACCGAGCGAACGUUGUUCGGAAUCACUGGGCUUAAAGGGCGCGUAGGCGGGUGCUCAAGUCCGGGGUGAAAUCCUCCAGCUCAACUGGAGAACUGCCUCGGAUACUGGGCGUCUCGAGUGUGGUAGGGGUAUGCGGAACUAUCGGUGGAGCGGUGAAAUGCGUUGAUAUCGAUAGGAACUCCGGUGGCGAAGGCGGCAUACUGGACCACCACUGACGCUGAUGCGCGAAAGCCAGGGGAGCAAACGGG